UUGAUUGGAUGUUGUAAUUGAUGAGUGGGUGUGUUACAUUAUCAAUUCUCAAACAAAAUUAUUUACAUCAACAAGUUUGAACAAAUUGUUUAAAAACAUUAGCUCCUAUUUUCUUACCAAAACUUAAGCAUUCUCUGUCACAUAACUUUGAGCAUCGAUAUAAUUAUUCCACAAAUCCGUCACCAUUGUAGUAACCAUCUCCACCGCACCCUCCACCACCGUCGGAAUCUCUUCCGUCAACCCUUGGAACGCAGACCGCGUCUUCUCCACCAACCCUCCUGCAGCCGCCCCGGUUGCAGCCACAGACCCAAAAACACUCUCUUUCACAAGAUCAAAAACAAAGCCAAUAAUUUCACUUAUUACCUCCAAAAAAAGCUCAAAAAGGUACUCGACACAACUUCGAAUAAAGCCACCAAAUUGCUCCAUUGCAGACUGUAGGGCUUCUCCCGGGACCUUUAAUCCUUGGAUCGCGAUCACGAGGAGGUAGGCCGUGAAGGUGAAGAGCAAACGAGAGAGGAUGUUUGAGAUGAGGGUUAUGGAGGAGAAGAUGAGGUUGAUGAGUAUGAGUAGUGCCAUUGAUGAAAGGUUAUAGAAUAGAGAGAAAUGAAGAAGGUUAUAAGAUGGAAGAGAUAUGGAAAUUUGGUUUUAAAGAAUAUUGAAGGCAUUAGUUGGGCUUGAGAUUGACUUCAUGGAAAUUGUUUAAAUGUUAGUUGAAAAUUGAAAUGGUGUUUGAUGAUGUAUUCAUGAGGAGUAUUAUAUGG
rnacentral:lncRNA from 1 species